CAAGAGCGUAUGUAAAAGUUGUUGCAGUUAAAAAGCUCGUAGUUGAACCUUGGGUUUGGUUGGCCGGUCCGCUUUUUUGCGAGUACUGGAUUCAACCGAGCCUUUCCUUCUGGCUAACCAGUCGUUUCGGCGGCUGGCGAACCAGGAUUUUUACUUUGAGAAAAUUAGAGUGUUCAAAGCAGGCAUUAGCUUUAAUAUAUUAGCAUGGAAUAAUAGAAUAGGACGUUAUGGUUCUAUUUUGUUGGUUUCUAGGACCAUCGUAAUGAUUAAUAGGGACGGUCGGGGGCAUCAGUAUUCAGUUGUCAGAGGUGAAAUUCUUGGAUUUACUGAAGACUAACUACUGCGAAAGCAUUUGCCAAGGACGUUUUCAUUAA
rnacentral:rRNA from 1 species